CAAGCCUGUCUCAGGAUGACCUUGUGCCGUGUGAGCAGCCAAUGUGGAGCCGCCGAAGGCUUCGGGCAACUGAAGACUUUUGUUUCAUGAAGGAUCCCAUUUAGGACACCGUGUUACAUUUCAUCAUCAUGUCUCCUUUGGCUCCUCCUGACUCUGACAAUUUCUCAGACUUCCUUUGUUUUUGAUGACCUUGACAGUUUCUAGGAGUGCUGGCAGCUCCAGGCCAACCUUCUCCUGCCAGAGGACGCAGGGCUGAAAGGACUCUGCAUGUGGAUAGAGGAGCCUGGCUCACUGCCCUCGCUGACUCCUGGGAGCUGAGCAGUUUCUCAUCUUGGACUUCAGAUUCCUCAGUGUGAAGUGGGAAUGCUUCUCUACUGGCCUCAUAGGAUUGUCAUGGGCAUGAAAUGGAAACAACAUUUGUACUCUGUUAGGUACAGUCAUUGUGCUGUGAGAAAGAGCCAGCGUUCCCUGCCUUGGAGUAGAGAGUGGGGGCAGAGAGGGUCCUGCGUCACCCAGGCGGGGAGGGGGCUUUCCCUGUGGACCAAGGCAGCCUGGGAAGGAGCGCCCAACCUCCAGGACGAACCUGCGUUCUGCAGGAAAGUGAAUUCUCCCCACCCAGAGCUCCUAAAUUGAGUUUUUUGCUCUUUUAAAAUUAUUUUGUGUUCUCUCCAAAAAUUCCUAAAUUUCAGAGUAAAAACUUCCUCUCCCUCAUCACUCCUUCCCCCAAAUCCACUCCCUUCUCCAAAGGAGGCAGCUGUUAAGUUGUUGGCAUGAAUCAUUUCACAGUCUUUCUCAUUGAUUUUUUUUUUUUUUUUUUUUUUGCUGUUACUAUAAAAAAGAAGUUUGAGGACUUCCCUGCUGGUCCAGUGGCUAAGACUCUGUGCUCCCAGUGCACGGGGCCCGGGUUCCAUUCCUGGUCGGGGAACUAGAUCCCGCAUGCUGAAAAUAAGAGUUCACUUGUAGCAGCUAAAGCUCCUGCAUGCUGCAACUAAGACCCA